rnacentral:rRNA from 1 species
AGACGAACCGUCCAAACGUUAUUCGGAAUUACUGGGCUUAAAGGGUGCGUAGGCGGCGCGGAAAGUUGGGUGUGAAAUACCUCGGCUCAACCGAGGAACUGCGCCCAAAACUUCCGUGCUAGAGGGAGAUAGAGGUGAGCGGAACUUAGGGUGGAGCGGUGAAAUGCGUUGAUAUCCUAAGGAACACCGGUGGCGAAGGCGGCUCACUGGAUCUCUUCUGACGCUGAGGCACGAAAGCUAGGGUAGCGAACGGGAUUAGAAACCCCAGUAGUCC